AACGCACCUUGCGCUCCUUGGUAUUCCGAGGAGCAUGCCUGUUUGAGUGUCAUUAAAUUCUCAACCUUACCCGUCUUGUCACGGGCUUGAGGCUUGGAUGUGGGGGCUUGCAGGUCCGCCUUUACAGGGUGGUCUGCUCCUCUGAAAUGCAUUAGUGGGUUUGUGCCCCUCAUCUAUUGGUGUGAUAAUUAUCUACGCCGCUGGGUGAUGCAUCAACGAAACCUGCUCAUAACCGUCCGUCUCGGACAACUUUGACCAUUUUGACCUCAAAUCAGGUAAGACUACCCGCUGAACUUAA
rnacentral:misc_RNA from 1 species